AUGGUGUGCCCGACAUGGCUCAGCAUGUUUCCGCUGGAUGCUACACGCAUAAAAGCCGGCAGCUUCUGCAACUCUUGUAGCUGGGGCUUCCACCUUAGCAGAGAAACAGCAGAGUUGUCCUUGCUGGGUGUAUCAGAAGUAUUGGAUGGCUUCUUCUCCUUCUCAUCAUCUUCAUCGUCCUCCUCAUCACUGCCUUUCUCCUCCUGAAGAUACGGAUGACACAAUGUGUUAAUCAGCUAGAUUGCAACACAGAAUGUCCUUACCCCACAACCUGACACAUUACCGUGUCCAUUAAAACCGAACUGAAAUAUA